rnacentral:tRNA from 1 species
GUUUUGAGAAGCUUAUUAGCAUUGGUCUUGUAAACCAAAAACAGGAUCAUUCCCCAAAACU